AGCGAACGUUAGCGGCGCGCCUAACACAUGCAAGUCGCACGAGAAAGGGGGCAACCCCCGGUACAGUGGCGCACGGGUGAGUAACACGUAGAUGACCUUCCCUGGAGUGGUGGAUAACCUGCCGAAAGGCGGGCUAAUACAGCAUGGGACCACAUGGUUUUGACCGAGUGGUGAAAGCGGGCCUCUGUUCACAAGCUCGCGCUCUGGGAUGGGUCUGCGGCCCAUCAGCUAGUUGGUGAGGUAACGGCUCACCAAGGCAACGACGGGUAGCUGGUCUGAGAGGAUGACCAGCCACACUGGAACUGAGACACGGUCCAGACUCCUACGGGAGGCAGCAGUGGGGAAUCUUGCGCAAUGGGCGAAAGCCUGACGCAGCGACGCCGCGUGGGUGAUGAAGGCCCUCGGGUUGUAAAGCCCUGUGGGGAGGAACGAACCGUUCGGGGGUGAAUAUCCUCCGAGCCUGACGGUACCUCCUUAGCAAGCAUCGGCUAACUCUGUG
rnacentral:rRNA from 2 species